UUGUUCACAAUGGGCGCAAGCCUGAUGACGCAACGCCGCGUGGAGGAUGAAGGUCUUCGGAUUGUAAACUCCUGUUGCCCGGGACGAAUGGCCACGACCUAAUACGUCGUGGUGUGACGGUACCGGGUGAGGAAGCCCCGGCUAACUCUGUGCCAGCAGCCGCGGUAAUACAGAGGGGGCAAGCGUUGUUCGGAAUUACUGGGCGUAAAGGGCGCGUAGGCGGCCCGCUAAGUCGAACGUGAAAUCCCCGAGCUCAACUCGGGAACUGCGUCCGAUACUGGCGGGCUUGAAUCCGGGAGAGGGAUGCGGAAUUCCAGGUGUAGCGGUGAAAUGCGUAGAUAUCUGGAGGAACACCGGUGGCGAAGGCGGCAUCCUGGACCGGCAUUGACGCUGAGGCGCGAAAGCUAGGGGAGCAAACGGG
rnacentral:rRNA from 1 species